rnacentral:rRNA from 1 species
GGGGGAUAUUGCGCAAUGGGGGCAACCCUGACGCAGCAACGCCGCGUGAAGGAUGAAGGUUUUCGGAUUGUAAACUUCUUUUAUUAAGGACGAAAAUUGACGGUACUUAAUGAAUAAGCUCCGGCUAACUACGUGCCAGCAGCCGCGGUAAUACGUAGGGAGCAAGCGUUGUCCGGAUUUACUGGGUGUAAAGGGUGCGUAGGCGGCUUUGCAAGUCAGAUGUGAAAUCUAUGGGCUCAACCCAUAAACUGCAUUUGAAACUGUAGAGCUUGAGUGAAGUAGAGGCAGGCGGAAUUCCCCGUGUAGCGGUGAAAUGCGUAGAGAUGGGGAGGAACACCAGUGGCGAAGGCGGCCUGCUGGGCUUUAACUGACGCUGAGGCACGAAAGCGUGGGUAGCAAACAGGAUUAGAUACCCUGGUAGUCCACGCUGUAAACGAUGAUUACUAGGUGUGGGGGGUCUGACCCCUUCCGUGCCGGAGUUAACACAAUAAGUAAUCCACCUGGGGAGUACGGCCGCAAGGUUGAAACUCAAAGGAAUUGACGGGGGCCCGCACAAGCAGUGGAGUAUGUGGUUUAAUUCGAAGCAACGCGAAGAACCUUACCAGGUCUUGACAUCCAACUAACGAAGUAGAGAUACAUUAGGUGCCUUUCGGGGAAAGUUGAGACAGGUGGUGCAUGGUUGUCGUCAGCUCGUGUCGUGAGAUGUUGGGUUAAGUCCCGCAACGAGCGCAACCCUUGCUAUUAGUUGCUACGCAAGAGCACUCUAAUAGGACUGCCGUUGACAAAACGGAGGAAGGUGGGGACGACGUCAAAUCAUCAUGCCCCUUAUGACCUGGGCUACACACGUACUACAAUGGAUGUUAACAGAGGGAAGCAAGACAGUGAUGUGGAGCAAACCCCUAAAAACAUUCUCAGUUCAGAUUGCAGGCUGCAACCCGCCUGCACGAAGUUGGAAUUGCUAGUAAUCGCGGAUCAGAAUGCCGCGGUGAAUACGUUCCCG